rnacentral:rRNA from 1 species
UACAGAGGUCCCAAGCGUUGUUCGGAUUCAUUGGGCGUAAAGGGUGCGUAGGUGGCGCCGUAAGUCGGGUGUGAAAUUUCGGAGCUUAACUCCGGAACUGCAUUCAAUACUGCGGUGCUUGAGUACUGGAGAGGAGAUUGGAAUUCACGGUGUAGCAGUGAAAUGCGUAGAUAUCGUGAGGAAGACCAGUGGCGAAGGCGAAUCUCUGGACAGUUACUGACACUGAGGCACGAAGGCCAGGGGAGCAAACGGG